UACGUAGGGCGCAAGCGUUAUCCGGAAUUACUGGGCGUAAAGCGCACGUAGGCGGCUUUGCAAGUUAGAGGUGAAAGCCCGGGGCUCAACUCCGGAAUUGCCUUUAAAACUGCAUCGCUAGAGUUGUGGAGAGGUAAGUGGAAUUCCGAGUGUAGAGGUGAAAUUCGUAGAUAUUCGGAAGAACACCAGUGGCGAAGGCGACUUACUGGACACAUACUGACGCUGAGGUACGAAAGCGUGGGGAGCAAACAGG
rnacentral:rRNA from 1 species